GGUACAGAGCCCUGUGGCUUCCAUGAAACCACCUACAGCUCCAUCAUGAAGUGUGAUGCGAAUAUCAAUAAAGACCUCUAUGCC